UACGGAGGGGGCUAGCGUUGUUCGGAAUUACUGGGCGUAAAGCGCGCGUAGGCGGCUUUGUAAGUUAGAGGUGAAAGCCCGGAGCUCAACUCCGGAACUGCCUUUAAGACUGCAUCGCUAGAAUUGUGGAGAGGUGAGUGGAAUUCCGAGUGUAGAGGUGAAAUUCGUAGAUAUUCGGAAGAACACCAGUGGCGAAGGCGACUCACUGGACACAGUAUUGACGCUGAGGUGGCGAAAGCGUGGG
rnacentral:rRNA from 1 species